GAAUGUACAGAAGUUUGCCAUAGCGUGACUAAUGAUCGAUUAAAAUUUGAACGAAUCAAACGACGCGAAUAUUCUCGAUCUCGAAGUUUCGAAACCAGCUGUUGUCUCGAACACAAUUUCGAGCCGGUUAGCACGGGCGGCCAGACCCAUUCGAAUGCGUUUACGAUCCGAAAAAUUACACAGUAACGUUAUUUAUUUUUUUCCUUGUUUGUUUUUUUAGUGUAACACGUACGGCAUAUCGUUAAUUAACGUUACGUUAUUUAUAUACUAUAUAUUUACAAUCACAUGAAUCGUAGAUAUUCUAGUGUAUCGUUCGCCUCGUUCGACUAAUUUUCUUUCCCAGUUCCAUUUUCCCCUCCCAUAUCUCUUCACCUAACCUCUAUUUUUUUUCCAAUUUUUCCAUAGUUGUAUUCACAAUUAUUUGCCAUUAUAUUCUCACAUCUAUGUUUCAUUAAAUACUUUUCUCUCUUAGUUUUUAAUCCCGUGUUAUACCUUCUCGUUAUUUUCUCACUGUUAUUUAUUGCGCCGCUUUUUUUUUCAUUCGAGCUGAAACUUGUUCAAUAUUUUAACACCAUUGUGCAACGUAUUCGCGCGCGUACACACAUAUACAUAUAUAUAUUUAUCUGCUUUGUAUAUAUAUAUUUAUAUAUAUAUAUAUUUUUAUAUAUAAUAUAAAAAACAGUAUCUUCUAUCGCUUGCGAGAAGAAAGCAAAACAGGAUGCCUUAGGCGAUCCAAAAAGCUGUUCGUCCGUAUGUCUAUACAGCCGAACAUGCAGAAUAAGAAAACAGUCUGGGCCUUUCAAAAUUGAUCAUAAUGAUCUUUUUUUUGAACUUGUUCCAGAUCGAUUAUUGUUCUAUCGUCUAUUUGUCAUUUUAUCUCUCGUCGUAUCAUCGUGUGAUUGCUGCUAAAAUAUGAAAAAUGACACAACUCCCGUUUCUGAUUAUCGUUCCGGCGCGAAGUAAGAUGGAUUCUUCGAAUAGAGGACCAUGAGGAUGAGAAGGGCGAGGACGAAGAGGCGGCUACCGUGACUCGAAUAAAGCGUGACGACGCCUGCCAGCCACCACAACGUCGGGCAGCCACCCGGUGCCGAGCUGAUCCCUCUUUGAAUCGCUGCAGGAUGCUCCCCUAUACCGUUUCCCAUAUCUGUAUACUUAAUCUACUUAUACUAUCAUGAAAACUCUGUGGAAGUUUUUUUUUUUCGGAUAGAAAAGUCGAUACGGCUGUUUUAAGAGAUUCGUUUAUAGAGUUGCGUUUAGACUUCUAAUUGGAUUUGAAUCAAGAAGUUGACGAAGGAUUGACCCGAAACUGUGUUGAAUUAUCGGAAUGCGAAAAUAGGGCUCACCAUUCAACACGUGAAGUUGCACGCUUGCGCUGUCCAAACUGCUCGGACUGCAAGUGUAAUUGCCCGAAUCUUCCCGCCUCGCUUUAUGGAUCAGGAGACUGCUGACCGUGUCGUGAUCGAUCCUCUUCGUCUGGAUGUCGAUCUUGUUCAGUUGGUAGUCCAGGACGCGGUCACCCUCGUGGUACCAGAAAACGUAGAAAGGGCCCUCGAGGGAUUGCUUGAUCACACAUCGUAUCGCAACUGUACUUCCGGUCUUCACGUACAUGUCGCGGUCGCCUAUGAUCUCGAUCUUUGGCACUGGAAAAUCACAGCUAGUAUCUAUUUUUUCCCCUUAUAAUUCAGUGAAUUUAAAGGAAAUGCAUUGCACGUAAUAUAUUCUUGAAAAAUGUUUUAAUCCACGUUACGUAAAAAUAUCAAGUUUUUUUUAAAUAUCGUGAUCUUAGUUUAAAAAUUGCGUGACUAGAAAAAAAAAAAUAAAAAUAAAAACGUUGAACAAAGAAUAAAAUUCUACGUUGAAAUGGUUAAUUACUAGAUAUUGUAAAUAUUAUAUGGAAUUCUUGAUAUUUUGAUCUAUUCGUUGAUAAUACUUAGAUAUUAUGAUAAAGAAAUAUUUAUAUAUUUCGUGAUAAAAAAAACUUCUACUGAUUAUCAUCUAUCGAUAGCCGACUAUCGUGAGACACGUACGACAUGUUAAUUAUAUAAUAAUCUAUUUUUUUUUUUUUCACAGUGUAUACAUUUGAAAACAUAUACUAUUUCCUGCGAGGAUUAAACGAUGCCGAUUGUCGUGGGUCAUCCAUGGCCCAUUCGGUAUGUUAAAUGUAUCGCAAGAAGGUGAUCGUACGACAAAGAAAAUUAAUUACUAAAUAUACGAAGCGAUUAUCCGAGCGAAGUUUUAUUACACUUUAACGCUCACAGGUACGAGUGUUACGUGAAAGAGAAAAUGUCUGUAUUUUACGCUCGUAUAAUUUUUUAUCACGUCGUUGGAACAUGGUUCACGAAGUGCUCGGACGAUCGAUGACAGAGCUCUUCUCACCCGACGUAAAAAUAACACUUGCGUGGAAUUGAACGAGGAUGGUCAAUGAUCAAUCUCUAAUAAAUCGUAAUUACACGGGUAUCGAUAUAAAUAUUGCAAGCGAUCCAAGAAAAUUAAAUUAUCCAUUCACUUUGACAAUUUUUGACCUCGUCGUUCACAAGUAUCAUCGAGGAAAUUUUUUUCGCAAUCUCACCGACGAUGUUGAGCUUGAUGAUGUGACUCUUCUUCGGGUCGGUCGAGAUUUGGCACUCGUACUCGCCUUCGUCGCGUGCCUGCACGUACUUAACCUGCAGGGUCCAAGUGUCCGACGCAUCUACGAAAAGCGCUUGAAACCUUUCGUCCGGGAUAAACAUGGUUCUAUCUACUGAGAGGAUAUGCGAGUCCCUUCUUCGGAUCCACGACACCUUUUGCGUUACAGGAAAGAACAGAUUAAUUUUAAUAAUAUCGUCGACGAGUACUUGUCGUUUUAGAAGAUUUGAAG